UGCAGAGGUCUCAAGCGUUGUUCGGAUUCAUUGGGCGUAAAGGGUGCGUAGGUGGCGCUGUAAGUCGGGUGUGAAAUUUCGGAGCUUAACUCCGAAACUGCAUUCGAUACUGCGGUGCUUGAGGACUGGAGAGGAGACUGGAAUUCAUGGUGUAGCAGUGAAAUGCGUAGAGAUCAUGAGGAAGACCAGUGGCGAAGGCGGGUCUCUGGACAGUUCCUGACACUGAGGCACGAAGGCCAGGGGAGCAAACGGG
rnacentral:rRNA from 1 species